GUGGGUCAGAUGCUAUAGUAGUCCUGCUCCUCUUGUAGGAGCGACUUACCCUUUGGACCACCUAUCCUAGAAAUCAGUUUUGUUGUAUUGGAAAUAUUCAUUCUUACGUUUCAAUCAUAGACGACCCUUGAACAAUCAAUUAAAGUUACUGUGAGUCAUGUGAGAUGAAGACGCCAUAAAUGAGCUCAUUUAGUAGAGCAGUAAGGUGACAAGACAGACCCAAAAGAAAAGAUAAAUUAGUGCUUUGAAUGUUAACAAUGACUUUUGUGAAGAGGUAAACCGAAAACAAUUUUUAUUACUGAAAGUGGGAUAUCAUUAUAAAAUAAUAUAACACGGAUAAAAGCCCUGCACAACUCACUUGUAACAAAACUUUUCACGAAGUAGCUAAUAUUUAUUUGUGGAUUUAAUUUUCUGAGCUAACCUGAUCCGUGAAGAAGGCGUAGAUCGAGUGAUCUUCCGAGAACUUCUAGAGCAACGAUACAUGGUCUGGCAGAUAUGUCCUUAUAGCAUUCCACUCUACGGCGCUGGAAAGGUCUUCUAGGAUGAUGAGACGUUUGUGCAGAACCCAGCCAACAAGCUCCAGAUGAACUCAUGGGGAUUGAAAGGAUGCAUCAUCUUCACCCAGGUACGGCAAUGAAACUUUCGCUGGAUGUUUGGAUCAUCAUACACCUUCUUCAUGAUGGAUACUAUCGCAAGAUUGGCUCCUGUACCACAAACGGAUACUACUUGAAGGCCCUUGUCCUCUGUGGUUAUCAACCUGGUGAGGUCCAAAUGGCCGCUAUGUUUAUCAAAGGUAUCUCUUGGCUUGAUGAAGAUGUCCGUUGUGCUUUGGCUGCUGGCAGUAGAAUUCUGCAUCAUCUCCUCUUUAGAUUUGUCGAUGAGGUUGUAGCUCAAGUUCCUCUGGCUCAUAUCUUCAGCUCGGUCCUUGAGCAGCUUCAUAUCAGCGACCGCUUGGUCCAGGGGCAGUAUUCGUGCCUUCCAGGGAGGCUGUAAGAAGGAGCUCUGUAUGGAUUGCUGUAAGCGAGGCCACAAUGACCGGUUUGUGUCCAGGUGAAGGACAAACUCAAU